CAUCUUAUCCGUUUGAGAUGUACCUACCGCGGCAUGCGCCCCCGGUAACGGGGGGUGUGAAGCCCGCGGGACAACGAGGAGAAGAGCAGAACCCUGAUCUGCUCCAUCCGCCAGGUAAACGACGCGCGAAAAAAUAACACAUACUUAGAAGAG
rfam:Methanoculleus sp. MAB1 isolate Methanoculleus sp MAB1 genome assembly, chromosome: chrI